GGGCCCGCACAAGCAGUGGAGUAUGUGGUUUAAUUCGAUGCAACGCGAAGAACCUUACCAAGGCUUGACAUCCUACUAACGAAGCAGAGAUGCGUUAGGUGCCCCGUAAGGGGAAAGUAGAGACAGGUGGUGCAUGGUUGUCGUCAGCUCGUGUCGUGAGAUGUUGGGUUAAGUCCCGCAACGAGCGCAACCCUUGCGGUUAGUUGCUACGAAAGAGCACUCUAAUCGGACUGCCGUUGACAAAACGGAGGAAGGUGGGGAUGACGUCAAAUCAUCAUGCCCUUUAUGUCUUGGGCUACACACGUACUACAAUGGCGAUUAACAGAGGGCAGCAAACCCGCGAGGGGGAGCAAAUCCCCAAAAAUCGCCCCAGUUCAGAUUGCAGGCUGCAACUCGCCUGCAUGAAGUCGGAAUUGCUAGUAAUCGCAGAUCAGCAUGCUGCGGUGAAUACGUUCCCGGGCCUU
rnacentral:rRNA from 1 species